CUACUGUAUUCAUGAGAAGUGCAACAUCUUAGGAUCAAAUCAUGCUUCUUCAUAAAUCUUGAAAAGCUCAAAAGUUUUUACAAAGAAAUCAUACUCUAAGGUAGCAUUCCCGCUUCAAAGACAAACUGGAAGAUGUUUAGUCCACUUCCAAGCUACAAAGAUUGAAGUAUGCCUCUGAAAUAAAGGAGAUAAAACAACUACAGAUGGAUUAUCUGAUGCAGUGGCAUAGUCACCUCUUAUAAUGACACAGAGUUUGUGUAUCACUGAAAUGUCGAAUAAGAUCCAUAAUUCCACAUCAUACAACAGAAUAUACACAGAACUUGAAUUAUUUCCAGAAAGACAUAAAAGGGCAUAUGUUGGCACCAGCCUGAAUGGCCCAUGCCAUAUCAUCACAAAAUGACACUUGACUGUACAUAUUGAUAAUACUCAAAGACUUUUUCUUAAUUAAUAAGCAUGAAGAUGAAAACAGAAGUGAAAGGUGCGAUUAUUUUUUUACACCUAGAUAGCACUUUCUCAUUCACUCAACAUCUGACCUCAGACAAUAAUGAAUAGCAUAAUUCUUGCCAUCCAUUGUCACUCUCUAUCUUCACCUUCAUACUUACAGCUCUUGAAACUUCUUCAAAAGAAAAAUUACCAUUCACUUGAAUAAUUUUUAUAAGUAGUACCAAAUCACAGUAGUUUAGAUUCCUACGACUGAUUCUGUACUCCCUCAGACCAAUGAAACAUAUUCAGCUGUCCUAUGUUGAUACACUCCAAACAUAGCCCGUUGAAAGGAGGCAAGAUGGAAGUCCCAAGGCUUCAUUUCGGUCACUAUACAAAUCUUGAAACAUGUAAAACGAAUAUACCAUAAACAGUGCAAACACCAUUUCACAUUACAAGGAAAAAGAAACACAUCUUGGAAAGCAUUAAUGAUGUAUCCAGGAGAUGAGGAUAAACACAUGUACUUGCAUCUAGAUAUGCGAGAAUGCAUUUAUACUGAGAAGCUGUAUGUAACUAUAGUAGAACUCAUGUAGGCAUAUCAAUGUGGAUGCUUUCGUCCACAUAAACGCUGUUGACUACAAUGGUAGUCCAAUGCCGAAUCAAACAUCUGAAAUGCAAAUUUAAUCAACAAUGCCAC
rnacentral:lncRNA from 1 species